CCCAAUGCUGGAUGGGAAGCUGCCAUGAAUCCUCAAUUUUCCAAUUACACUGUGAGGCUUAACUCAUUGCAUAUUGAUAAUAUAUUUAGUCCUUCUAUAGAUUUGUUCCGAGUUCUCAUGUAGGCAGACUCUAGUAUCUGAUUUGAAAUAUUUUGAUACCUUGAUGCACAGGUUGGUGAGUUCAAGUAUCUCCUGGGAGCCAAGCCAACUCCUAAAAAGGAGUUGAGGGGUUUUCCUGUUAUAAGUCAUCCAAGAUCCUUGAAGUUGCCAAAAGAAUUUGACGCAAGAAAAGCUUGGCCACAAUGUAGCACAAUUGGAAGAAUUCUUGGUCAGUUGCUUAUUAGUUCUAUAUUUUGCUGUAUCUUUUUUCCCUUUUUUGAAGGUGCUGAUGUUUUCCUCAAUAUUUGGCUAAUGGUGGAUUACUUUCCUAAUAAAAGAUCAGGUAAAAUCUUAUUUUACUUUUCUCUUAAUCAAUUCAUUUAAGUGAGCUCUACAUGUUCUCAGCACACCUGUAUUUUGUAUUCCAGGGUCAUUGCGGAUCUUGUUGGGCAUUUGGCGCAGUUGAAUCACUAUCUGAUCGCUUUUGCAUCCAUUUUGGCAUGGUACUUGAAUAGUGAUAGCGAUUGUCGAAACCGUCAAAAAUAAACCUAUUAAACAAUUAACUUGCAGAUAGUGGCAAUAGGGUCGAACCACAUGGAAUUGACACCAAAGAUUUUUCUAAUAAUGACUAAGGCAAAUAAAUGACAAAUAAAUAAAAGAGGGGGUUUUGUUUUGAUGAAUUAAAUCUAGAAAGCAAGAGAAAUUUAAAUAAAUGAGAAUAUCAAUGGGAAAGAGAUUCUAGUUGAAAUAUGAGUUUAAUUCAGCUUGUUCAGAAUUGAUCAUUGACUAUUUAAGACUCCUAUUUUAUUUCAAUAAAUUAGUUUUGGUUGUGGAAACGCUUCUCACAACCAAAUUCCUCCUUAGUUCUAGUUUGAUUAGGAAACGUUCACUAAUCAAACACUAAUCAAUAAGUUGCCAAGAAACGUCCUUAGGGCAUUUAGCAUCGAACAACUGUUGACUGCAUUAAGACUUAAAGAAACCCAAUUCUAUCCUUGCCAACCGCGUGGUCAAGUCUAGAUUAUGCAACUGAUUAUAUUUGUGUUCAAAUCAUCUAAGCAAUUACGGAUCUAAAUCAUUCAAACAAUUUAUUACUCAAGCAAGCAAUGGACCCUUAUUGAUUCUAAAAGCAAAGUAAUAAUUAUAGAAAAGAUCAAGUUGCAUAAAUAUUGAAAGCAAAUAAGAGUUUAACAAUGGAGUUUUAAAUCUCCCAAUUCAUCACAAAUCUAAAUUUCCUCAACUUCAACUAGAAAAGAAGAAAAUUAGCCACUCAUGGUGGGCAAAAUACACAAAAGGAAGAAGAAAGGAAGAGAAGAAGAGACUGCUGCAAUUCUCCUGCUGAAUUCUACAGAUUUCCGAAGGUGGGAGAAAAUGCCUUUGCUGGUUUGGAGGCUGCCUUUUUAUAGCUGGAGAGUCCAAGUUCAAUUAGGGUUUGGAAUCCCUAUUUUGACUUGGUUUUGAGGUCUUUGAUUCCUCUUUCUCUUCUUGUAUUUUGUUGUAGAUGGAAUUCUCUUGGUAGAAGGACAUCCUUGUGGCUUUUGGAUUUGAGCUGGCAGUGUUUGAAGUGUUUUUGGGCUUCUUUUCUUUUUAAAUCUGAUUUUUUUUCCUUUUUCCCGCUCUGUUGUGUCAAUGUGAUUGGGGUGGGUGAUUUGGGCAAAUCACUUGCCCAAAUCGCUUUCUGUGAGUCAGUCCAGUUUUUUUGUCUCUGCGAGUGAUUUGGCCAGUCUCUGCUAGUGAUUUGGCCAAAUCACUCUGGCCCAAUCACUUUUUCAGUCUUUUCUUCACUUUUUUUUCAAUUUUUCAAUUUCUUCAUUUUCUGUAAAAACAAGAUAAAAAUCAUAAAUUAAGCUGAAAAAUGUGUAAAUAAGCAAUGAUAAAGAUAAUAAAAAUGUGGCUAAUUUAUGUUUGAUCAAAUAGCCUGAGCAAGUUGGCUAAUUAUAAUGUCCAGUACUAACAGAGAUCAAAUCCUAGUUAUGUUGAAUUACUAUCUGAUCGCUUUUACUUGCAGAACAUAUCUUUGUCUGUCAAUGAUCUCUUGGCAUGCUGUGGCUUUUUGUGUGGAGCUGGUUGUAAUGGAGGGUAUCCGAUCUAUGCAUGGAGAUACUUUGUCCACCAUGGUGUUGUUACUGAAGAGGUACAGAUUUCUGUGUUUGCCUAUUAUCUGGACUGUACAUAAAAUUGCUUAGUGGCAGCAAGUCAAGGGUCUCAUGGUUUCAUGUCUCUUUUCUGAUAUAAGGAUUUGUUGAGGAUCAUUGCUUUAAGUUGAACAGCUUCCUGUCUUGGUUGAUGUGCUUUUCUAAUAACGAACAAAUUUUCCAUCUCACAGUGUGACCCGUACUUUGAUGAUAUUGGCUGUUCCCACCCUGGCUGUACACCUGAAUUCCCUACGCCAAAGUGUGCAAGAAAGUGUGUUGAUAAGAACCAGCUCUGGAGACGAUCAAAGCAUUAUGGUGUCAGCGCAUAUAGAAUUAGUUCUGAUCCCCAAGAUAUUAUGGCUGAGGUUCAUACAAAUGGACCAGUAGAGGUUGCUUUCACUGUUUAUGAGGUAAAUUAUGCACGUGAUGAAUUCUUGUUUGCUUGCAUUUUCCGCACAUCUUUCUAACCGAGUAUAAGUUAGCUUCUUUUGCUAUUCCCAUUCUAAUUUUUUGAGCUCAAGAAAUCAUGAAUCAGUGCCACACGUGUAGAAACAACCUCAAUGAGAGCUUACGCAAACUUAACUUUUGAAAUACAAGCUUGUCCUUUUUAAUGUAUGCUUUACUUUUUGUUUUAUGCUGAACGCAAGCUGACUAUAAUCAAAUAUUGAUAAGUUGUGCAUUGCACAAAGACAGCUGUGGCUGCAAGUAUUUGGUUGUAAUAGUUUCUUUACCAUUUUACAGGAUUUUGCUCAUUAUAGAUCUG
rnacentral:lncRNA from 1 species